CUAGAAAUUGAUACGGCGGUUCGUCCCCGCCCCAUCCGUACGGUCGUCACAAGCCCAUUAGAAUCUACGACUGCCAUACCGCCUCCAUCCUCCCCUCCGCUGCCGCUGCUCAUGCCGAGCAGCGUCGACACCGACGCCUGACUCCGCAUCACGCCCCACCACGACUUCCAGGCGGAGGUGCACCCCUGGAGCGGCGACAAGGACAUGGAGGAGCCACUGCUGCAGGCUGCAGCCGCUCGACUGCAAGCUGGGCUCGCUGCCGGUGGUCGCCGCCAAGGACGGCAUGUCGCUCAGUGCCUCUAUCUGCACGAGAACGUGGGGCGUACUUGUUAAUCUGUUGUUACUGCUAUUGAUAUAGUUCGAACUACUGAGUUCAGGGUUUACCGUUAGUCGGUUCAUGUUACAUGUUCUUGCCGAUGUUCCUGUUGUGGCUUCCCCAGUUUGCUUCGCUUCAGUGCCCACGCAGUGGGGUUGGUUCGUCACUGUUCGCCGUGGGGAAGUUGUUGGCUUGCAGUCAUUGCUGCCACUUGGAUUCCUGACCAUAAACCUCAGUUUCUUGCUCCCUAGGAAUGAUGGCCCUCUCACUCACUCCCAUGGUGCAGUUCGGAACAGUUUAAUCAAGGCAAGGUAAUCUCUCUGUAGUUGAACUGUGUUUCUUAAAAAAACAUUUUAGCUGCAGGUUGUAUUGCUAAAAUUGGGAACUUGGUCAUCAUGGAAUUAUUUUGGUGAAUGGGAUUGGAUUUCAAUCAUUAUUUCCUCAGUAGUGGAAAGCUUAUACAAGACGCAAGUUCUAUUCCAUCCCGAAGUACUACAGUCUGCAGUUACAUGAGAGUUCCAUGAAAUUCUUAUAUUGAAGCUAUUCUGGGCAGUUAAGUAGUACUCCCUCCGGUCUCUUUUAAUUGACUCGGAUUUAGUAUUCGAGAAGAAAAAAGAAGGCAUAGUGAAAUAUUGUUAACUCUGAUAUUAAGUUUUUUUUGGACAAAGAUAUAAGGAAACCACACAUUAUUUAGAAUCUACAACUAUGGAUAGUACUAUGGAUGCCAUGAAAGUUUUGUCACAUCUUUUGCUUAAUGAUGAUUUAUAAUCUACAAUUGCAUGCUCCUCCAUGUUCUUCAUUUGAAGUGAUCGUGAUUCUCGGUAUUCUCGAUCGUGAUUUCUGUUACGGUUUUAUGCCAAUAGCUAAUGUCUAUGUACCACAGUGAUCCUAGGUUGAUCGGGCCGUUCUCAUGAUUAGGUGUUGGAAGUACUGUUGCUUAUCCUCAGCUUCUUUUCUACCCAACUUUUUUUUAAAUCUUUUGAGAUUCAACUUUGUAUUCUGCACCGCAACUGCUACAAUUGAAUCAAACAUUUUUUACUGAAUAUUACAUAAUUUAGUGAAUCAAAUAAUUUACUGAACAUUACAUAUAUAGAUAAUAUGCAUAAUAUAAAAUUUUGCCUUUGCAUUGUGAUAAGAAAACUUCUAGGCAUCCCUCAGAUAUGUUGGUUCUAUCUGACUUUGGUCAAAUGCAUUGCUUCUUAAUGUUAUAAGUGAAUUUUGUUGUCAAUUGGUAGUCUUAGAUUGAUGUUGGAAUAUUGUUGGCCAGUUAUGCUGGUGCCAAGUUUGGUUGUGCAAUUUGAUCUUUUCUGCUUCAUUUGUCUGCUCAAGAGAUCUGCUCAUGGUCUGCAAGUUACCGCGGCCACGAACAUGCUGGUGCUGUAUUUUCUAUUGCCCAAGUUAUUCCCGCUCCUGGUUCGCCUGGUGCUUGCACCGGUCGUGGUGGAUUAAUUUCUCCUACCGUUGCUCAAUGGUCUUCUGUUCUACUAAGUUUUAUUAAGUUGAGAACCAUUGUAGAGCAGACAUAUGGACACAAGAGCAGCAGAAGCAAAGCAUCAGCAGCAAAAAAAAAAAAAAGGCGCGGCAAAGCGCGCAGAUCCUUCUACUAGAUACUAAACAUGCCAUUUUACAGCUAUGCAUGUGGUUUAGAUCAUCUCUAACAGAUACCGUAUCCGGUUGAAAUCCAGAAAAUAAUCGCCGGUAUGCGAUACUAGACGAAAAAAUGUCCGACAAAAAUGUCGUGAGCCUAACAUUUUUUUGCAGCAAACCCACAUCGCUUCGUCAAAUGUUGCAUAUACACAAAUUUUGGGCCGAACUAUUCAGUUCACCACAUUGUUGGUGCGAGGAGUUGGUUCCCUUCCGCGGCUGAAGCCGGCAAAUUUAUGGCGAACCUUAGCUAAUCUCCGGUGAAUCUUCCGCGGUAAGAGUACGACGGGGCCACGUGCAGAGCAUGGGGCGCUGGAGCCGCUCACGACCGAGCUCGGGCCGAGCCGGGUAACCUCCGCCCGGGAUGGGAGACGGUGGAGAGGCGGACUGCCGAGCAUCGGCCGGUUACUGGCUCGUGCGGGAGGCGGCGGAGAGGCAGACGGCCGAGCGGCACGCGGCUCGUGCCAUGGCCAAGUGACGGACGGACGGGAGGCGGCGAGACGCCUGAGUGGCGGGCAGGCGACCAACCUGUGCGGGAGGCGGUUGCACGGUGGAUGGCGGGUUGGCGCUGGUGCGGGAGGUGGUCAAGCGGAAGAUGGCACGUGGGCGGCUGGUAGCUCUCUGCUCGUGUUUGGGGCAUGCAGGGAAGAAAGAAUUUGAAAAAAAAACCGAAAUGGAUAGACCCCACCAUAAAUUUUAUGAAAGGUCAAGAAUUCUUCAGCCUUAGGCCCAUAUACAAGAAAGGCGUCCACCACAAAGAAAAACUAGAAUCACCUUACCCACAAAAGGGUGGCCCAGAAUCAUGGACGAGCUGAUCGAACCUGUUAAGAUCGAAUACUAAAACAGAAGCAAAGAAAAAAACAGAG